rnacentral:rRNA from 1 species
GACGAACGCUGGCGGCGUGCCUAAUACAUGCAAGUCGAACGCAGUGGGGACGGGUGAGUAACACGUGGGUAACCUCCCAUCAGUGGGGAAAACACUUCGAAACAGGUGCUAAACCGAUACUGAUGGAUGGACCCGGGGUGAAUUAGCUAGUUGGUGGGGUAACGGCUCACCAAGGCGACGAUGCAUAGCUGACCUGAGAGGAUGAUCGGCCACACUGGAACUGAGACACGGCCCAGACUCCUACGGGAGGCAGCAGUAGGGAAUCUUCGGCAAUGGACGAAAGUCUGACCGAGCAACGCCGCGUGAGUGAAGAAGGUUUUCGGAUCGUAAAGCUCUGUUGUUAGAGAAGCGGUAUCUAACCAGAAAGCCACGGCUAACUACGUGCCAGCAGCCGCGGUAAUAC